rnacentral:rRNA from 1 species
UACGGAGGAUGCGAGCGUUAUCCGGAUUUAUUGGGUUUAUAGGGUGCGUAGGCGGACGCUUAAGUCAGCGGUAAAAUUGCGGGGCUCAACCUCGUCGAGCCGUUGAAACUGGGUGCCUUGAGUGGGCGAGAAGUACGCGGAAUGCGUGGUGUAGCGGUGAAAUGCAUAGAUAUCACGCAGAACUCCGAUUGCGAAGGCAGCGUACCGGCGCCCAACUGACGCUGAAGCACGAAGGCGUGGGUAUCGAACAGG